UGGGGUAUAUUGCACAAUGGGCGAAAGCCUGAUGCAGCGACGCCGCGUGGGGGAUGAAGGCCUUCGGGUUGUAAACUUCUUUUGCUCUGAACAAGGCAUGCUAAUGGGUGUGUUGAGUGUAGGGGUUGAUUAGCGCCGGCUAACUACGUGCCAGCAGCCGCGGUAAUACGUAGGGCGCGAGCGUUGUCCGGAAUUAUUGGGCGUAAAGGGCUUGUAGGUGGCUGGUUGCGUCUGUCGUGAAAGCUCAUGGCUUAACUGUGGGUUUGCGGUGGGUACGGGCUGGCUUGAGUGCAGUAGGGGAGGCUGGAAUUCCUGGUGUAGCGGUGGAAUGCGCAGAUAUCAGGAGGAGUACCGGUGGCGAAGGCGGGUCUCUGGGCUGUUACUGACACUGAGGAGCUAAAGCAUGGGGAGCGAACAGG
rnacentral:rRNA from 1 species